UUUAAAUUUUUCGUAAAUCCUGAAAAAUUAAAUAAUAUUUCUCUUAUUAAAGUCUUAUAUUUAGUACAUCAAAUAAACGGAUAAUAAAAACACACAAUAGGCACAUAAAUCCGCCCCGCAUUCGAUUUGUCGGAAACUGCUUCUCAUCACAAGCUAAUCAGAACAGUGUAAGUACCCUCUUUGCGCCCCUAUUAGAUACACUAUGUGUGACGUCACACAUGAGAAAAAUAUAUCGACAAUAGCAGCUUGAGCUGUAGUUAUCUAAAAUGUGAACAAUUUUAGUAGGUAUUUAAACACGUAUAAAUAAUUCAAUAAAAACGUAUAAAAACUGUCGGAAACUGCUUCUCAACCAGUAUCGAGUUGUAUAGAACGUGUUUUAGCAGACUUGUUUAUAGACAUGAUCUUCUUAAACAAGCAGACGAAGCAGAAUGACGUCACACCUUCAUGUAAUUUGUUCAAUACUUGAGACACAUAGAGACAUGGGAGAUAACACAAUUAACUAGAUAAUUUAUAUUGGAAUAUACAUUUUCCGAAAAUGUGUAAAUCGAAAGUACAGGUAUUUCAGUGAAUGAAACAUAACUUUAUUUUGUUAGCGACCAUUAACACAAUACAUACACCAAGUCAUGGACUUUGAUAAGAAAAUAUAUAGGCCAGUGUCCACUGGGGAGUUGCUACUACAGCAAUUGAAAGAACAAAGUGUCGUUUGCAACUUCACAGUGAAACAAGGACUAUUGUCCAAGCGUUACCAUGACUGUCGUGCGUGACAGUCCAUUCGUCGAGGCCAUGAAGAGGAAUAACUUCGAUGAAAAAGCCAAAGGGUUUGUAGAAAUGAAAUUAGGCUCUCCAGAGUCCAUCGACAUGGUAAUAAUGUUCUUAUACGGGCAAUUUUCCAAGUUGACCAUAGACAAUGUAUCCGCCGUGAUGCACCUUGCCGAGUUUUUGUUGAUACCGAAGUUGAAGGCGUUUUGUAUAGACUGGAUCAACAAUAAUACCAAGUUGGAUGAAGAAAGCGUAGAAAAGCUACUCCAUCUCAGCAGCAUCUUUGAUUUCGAGGUGCCAACACUGGGACAAUCAGCAAAUGUAGUGAAGAAACAGUUUUGACGCCACUUCUUUCGUUGAAUGUUAGUUUUAAAGUAAAAUUUGUUGUAAAUGAAGCCAAAUUAGUAGCCCUUUUUUCAAGAAACCCCAAAUUAUUUACGACACACAGUCAUGCACAUUGGAAAAUAUCGAUAUCAGUCUCGAUGACAAUGAUGAAGUCAGUCCCUUUAAAGACGGAUUCGCGAUUUUUGGUGAAAUGAAGACUCGUUUGAUUGUUUCAGGGACAAUUUCUCGCGUUAAAAGGCCAGUUGUAGUUUGUGGAGCUUUUCGAAAGGAAAGGAAGGUUGGUUGUACUUUCAGAGUUGUCGCAAACAAAUGGGUUCGUUUUCGUACAACAAAUAAAUACGGCGACCACUCCAUAGACAGCAAGCAGUUGGACUAUACAAUGGAUGAACUGGACAAGGUCAAUGUUAAAUAUGUAGAAUGGAAACAUAUUCCUCUCCCCGAUGUCUCAGUAGAUGAAUCAAUCAUUUGCAAUAUUCUGGAAAUAGCGAUCCCUCGCUUACAACUGAAAUGCAAUUUGAGGUGUCCGCAUUGUACACGGAUCAAAGACGAAAAUACAAUUAGAUACAAGAAACACAACGUUAUGAACGCUUUGUCAAGAGAACGUCGUAACUGUGGCCUUCCCGGUCGUUUUUACCAUGACGAAAGCAAUGGGGAUUAUACUCACAGUAUUGACUAUUAAUCAGAGGUACUUCAGUGUGCUUAACAGUUCGUGUUCUGUGCAUAAAUAUGCGAAUAUUGUGAAUUACUGAUGAGAAGAGCAUCGCUUUACGUAGUUCGUUGUGUUUGAUAUAUUAUACCUCUGCUAAAAUAAUAGGGGUAGGAAUUUUAUAUAGUAGUGCGAAAUUUGGUCGUAAUAUGUUUUGAAGGGAGGCAACUAUUGGAACGGUUGUACAAUUUGUUUUCAAAAAGAACAUAUUAAACAUAUAUUAUGUUUUCUGCCAUGUGGUUGUUUGGGUUUUUAGGAGUGACAGACUGUAAUGGUCGUUACCUAUCUAGUAUUUUGAUGCUACCGUGAUAUGUCUUAUUUCAAGCUGAUAAAGAGGUACAUACAUUUUCCAUUACAGAAUAGUUUGAUUUUCGACAAAACAAAGCAUGGUGCAUCGGUUACUCGAUGUACGUUACCGUAAAUUUUGUGUUUUCCAUUUAAGUAAGCCAAUUUUAACAUAUGUCUUUUGUGUAAUUAUUGUCUUAAAUAUAUUUAAAGCAAAAAAAACCCCACAAGCACAUUAUUUAUUCAUUUACAGUAUGGAGUGUAUCAUGUCUUUUGUUCUAAACAUGUACACAUUUCAAGCAAAACAAAGCAUAUACUAUACAUAAAAUAUUGUUUGUUACCAUACGAUGUUUGUUGCACAUAGUUUUCUGUUAUUAAGAAGGACUCCACCAACAUUUUGAACUGCGCCAUUGCAUACCAUACCCCGAUAAAAUGCAACAUGUCGAAUUUUAAUACUUAUAUUUACAUUCAUUUAAAUCUACAUUUCUUACAUUCCUACAUUGAUUAUUCAAGAGCAUUUUCUCUUUUCUAUCUCUCGUUGUUCUCAACGGUGGGUAAAUUAGAACAGCUAUCGUAACCUAAUUGUAUACGACAAUGAAUGCACAGAUAAAAUAGUUCCUUAUUUAUAUGUUUAUUUUCUAUCUUUUCAAGGUCAAGAAUAUUAUGAAUACGUAUUUUUGCAUACAAUGUGUGUUUUCGGUCCGUUAUCGUGGUGUAUUAAAACGCAAAAACCCGGGCGUUUUCAGUAAAUUCACGUGCCGUUAAUGCCCGGUUUUUUGUUUUACAUAUGCGCUUUCAGGGCCCGCAUCAUAACAAUGAAGGCUGAGCGACCUGGUUUCUGACCGAAAGUUGGUCAACGAUGCAAACUUUUGCACAAAAACAUAUUUUAGAAUAUAUAAUGUAGCUGCAUACAAAUACCAAAACAGGAAAUAAACCACAACAGUCAUAUAACUUACAUAUUUUCUGCCGAGUUGUCUUUUCCUGGCAAGCUGAUGUGUUUACCAAAUAGUUUUUUCUGCAGUUGUUUUGACUAUUAAAAGCACUAAAUUAUGUCUAAAACGACUAACUCCUCCGAACUUUUAGUUAUUUCUGUCGAUUUUAUUCAGAACAUACGACUUAUAUGGACAUGAUUCCACUAUGUCGUAUGCAAUGAACAAAGAAAUUUCAAAUAUUUUUUCUCUGAUGCUGAAGAUGCUGUACAUUUUAUCAAGAACAUGUUUACAAAAUUUUCAGGCUUAAAUUAGUUAUCAAAACAAAUAAUGGUUAAAGUAGGACUGCAUAGGUAAUUAAUUGAUUACCCAAUAGGUAUUGUGUGUAAAUAAUCCCAGUAAUCCAGUCACUUUUCAAAAAACAACACUUUCAAAACGAAUGAACACUGCAAAAAAUGGCGUCGAAACAAAAUGCAGCUGCCGAGUUAUGUUGCGGCCCGAAUCGAGCUUAAUGUAAAACUUUUUCAAUGACAUCACCCAUGACGUCAUACAAGCACCCAUUAUAGAGGUUAUUUUGAACUAACUGUUAAAUUGCAUUUUCGUGACAUUUAACAGCAUUUUUAAACACAAACUUUUCUUCAACUGUUCCAUCCAUCAUGAAAUUAUCUACAUUAAAAUCAAUCA